rnacentral:misc_RNA from 1 species
CUUCUCUGAAUUUAAAUGAUGAUAUGAUAAAUGAUGCACCAAAUUCUGGUGCUAAAUUUCCAAACAUAGCCAUGGGAUCACUUUGUCACUAAAUCAAGAUCACAGGACAACUGUCGAGGUAGACGGUGAUCCAGGGAAAUCAGUUUCAUUGGUGAAAACACUUGACCUUGUGGAAUGACACUACAAAAACCACCUGCCCUUGAACAUUAGUAGCUCAGAAGGU